CGCACACACUCUCCCUACAGACAAGCCCAUUGACACACACAUGCUCCCUACAGAAGAGCUUACUAACACAGAUUCACUACAGACAAGCUCACUGACACACCCAUGCUCACUACAGACAAGCUCACUGACACACACGCUCACUACAGACAAGCUCACUGACACAUAUGGUCACUACAGACAAGCUCACUGACACACACGCUCACUACAGACAAGCUCACUGAUGCGCACACACUCUCCCUACAGACAAGCCCAUUGACACACACAUGCUCCCUACAGAAGAGCUCACUAACACAGAUUCACUACAGACAAGCUCACUGACACACCCAUGCUCACUACAGACAAGCUCACUGACACAUAUGGUCACUACAGACAAGCUCACUGACACACACGCUCACUACAGACAAGCUCACUGACACAUAUGGUCACUACAGAC